UACGUAGGGGGCAAGCGUUGUCCGGAAUCAUUGGGCGUAAAGAGCGUGUAGGCGGUCCGGUAAGUCGGCUGUGAAAGUCCAGGGCUCAACCCUGGGAUGCCGGUCGAUACUGCCGGACUAGAGUUCGGAAGAGGAGAAUGGAAUUCCUGGUGUAGCGGUGAAAUGCGCAGAUAUCAGGAAGAACACCCGUGGCGAAGGCGGCUCUCUGGGACGGUACUGACGCUGAGACGCGAAAGCGUGGGGAGCGAACAGG
rnacentral:rRNA from 1 species